rnacentral:rRNA from 1 species
UACGUAGGCAGCGAGCGUUGUUCGGAGUUACUGGGCGUAAAGGGUGUGUAGGCGGUCGUUUAAGUUUGGUGUGAAAUCUCCCGGCUCAACCGGGAGGGUGCGCCGAAUACUGAAUGACUUGGAGUGCGGGAGAGGUGAGUGGAAUUCCUGGUGUAGCGGUGAAAUGCGUAGAUAUCAGGAGGAACACCGGUGGUGUAGACGGCUCACUGGACCGUAACUGACGCUGAGGCGCGAAAGCGUGGGGAGCAAACAGG